rnacentral:rRNA from 1 species
CCUACGGGAGGCAGCAGUGAGGAAUAUUGGUCUAUGGACGAGAGUCUGAACCAGCCAAGUAGCGUGAAGGAUGACUGCCCUAUGGGUUGUAAACUUCUUUUAUAUGGGAAUAAAACGUUCCACGUGUGGGAUUUUGUAUGUACCAUAUGAAUAAGGAUCGGCUAACUCCGUGCCAGCAGCCGCGGUAAUACGGAGGAUCCGAGCGUUAUCCGGAUUUAUUGGGUUUAAAGGGAGCGUAGGUGGAUUGUUAAGUCAGUUGUGAAAGUUUGCGGCUCAACCGUAAAAUUGCAGUUGAAACUGGCAGUCUUGAGUACAGUAGAGGUGGGCGGAAUUCGUGGUGUAGCGGUGAAAUGCUUAGAGAUCACGAAGAACUCCGAUUGCGAAGGCAGUUCACUGGACUGCAACUGACACUGAGGCUCGAAAGUGUGGGUAUCAAACAGGAUUAGAUACCCUUGUAGUC